rnacentral:rRNA from 1 species
AUACGUAGGUGGCAAGCGUUGUCCGGAAUUAUUGGGCGUAAAGCGCGCGCAGGCGGUCCUUUAAGUCUGAUGUGAAAGCCCACGGCUCAACCGUGGAGGGUCAUUGGAAACUGGGGGACUUGAGUGCAGAAGAGGAAAGUGGAAUUCCAAGUGUAGCGGUGAAAUGCGUAGAGAUUUGGAGGAACACCAGUGGCGAAGGCGACUUUCUGGUCUGGAACUGACGCUGAGGCGCGAAAGCGAGGGGAGCAAAGAGGAUUAGAUACCCUGGUAGUCCACGCCGUAAACGAUGAGUGCUAAGUGUUAGGGGGUUUCCGCCCCUUAGUGCUGCAGCUAACGCAUUAAGCACUCCGCCUGGGGAGUACGGUCGCAAGACUGAAACUCAAAUGAAUUGACGGGG